GGAUGAGAGAUAGGCAGACAUCGUGGGAAACUACGGCUCGCCACUUGGAUCGAUAUUCAGGGAUGUUUUUCUCUUUCACCCCUAUUUUUGCGAGCACUGAGGACAGUGCUAGAUUUUAAGUGUGGGGGGGUGUUUGUUGAUCCUAUGGGUGCCUUUUUGUUGUGUUUUUGGGCUUUCUUGUGUGGGGCAAAUGGUCUCCUUUAUCUUGAUUGUUGUUUGGCUUCAAGUAAUAAUGCACACUUUGAUGAUUUGUUCACAAGUAAAUUUCAUGCUUUGUGUUGGCUUGGUUGCUAUCUUUGUCUCUCAGGCUAUGCAUAUUCCUCUCUUGAUGUAAGUUGUUUAAUGUUUUGGAUGCAACACCCUUAUGAGCUAUUCUUGACGUGAUUUGUCCGGUAGAUGCUAGAGGGAGUGUUUUCAUUGUGAUAGC
rnacentral:lncRNA from 1 species